AUUGAACGCUGGCGGAAUGCUUUACACAUGCAAGUCGAACGGCAGCACGGGGGCAACCCUGGUGGCGAGUGGCGAACGGGUGAGUAAUACAUCGGAACGUGCCAAUCGUGGGGAUAACGUAGCGAAAGCUACGCUAAUACCGCAUACGAUCUACGGAUGAAAGCGGGGGAGUCGCAAGACCUCGCGCGAAUGGAGCGGCCGAUGGCAGAUUAGGUAGUUGGUGGGGUAAAGGCUCACCAAGCCAACGAUCUGUAGCUGGUCUGAGAGGACGACCAGCCACACUGGGACUGAGACACGGCCCAGACUCCUACGGGAGGCAGCAGUGGGGAAUUUUGGACAAUGGGCGAAAGCCUGAUCCAGCCAUUCCGCGUGCAGGAUGAAGGCCUUC
rnacentral:rRNA from 1 species